CGAUAAGGGGACCCCAAGUGCGAGGGCAUAUAGUCCUCGCUUUUCACGACUGUAAGGCGGUCGUGGAAUAAGAGCUGGGCAAGACCGGUGCCAGCCGCCGCGGUAAUACCGGCAGCUCAAGUGAUGACCGAUAUUAUUGGGCCUAAAGCGUCCGUAGCCGGCCACGAAGGUUCAUCGGGAAAUCCGCCAGCUUAACUGGCGGGCGUCCGGUGAAAACCACGUGGCUUGGGACCGGAAGGCUCGAGGGGUACGUCCGGGGUAGGAGUGAAAUCCCGUAAUCCUGGACGGACCACCGAUGGCGAAAGCACCUCGAGAAGACGGAUCCGACGGUGAGGGACGAAAGCUAGGGUCUCGAACCGGAUUAGAUACCCGGGUAGUCCUAGCUGUAAACGAUGCUCGCUAGGUGUGGCACAGGCUACGAGCCUGUGCUGUGCCGUAGGGAAGCCGAGAAGCGAGCCGCCUGGGAAGUACGUCCGCAAGGAUGAAACUUAAAGGAAUUGGCGGGGGAGCACUACAACCGGAGGAGCCUGCGGUUUAAUUGGACUCAACGCCGGACAUCUCACCAGCUCCGACUAUAGUGAUGACGAUCAGGUUGAUGACCUUAUCACGACGCUAUAGAGAGGAGGUGCAUGGCCGCCGUCAGCUCGUACCGUGAGGCGUCCUGUUAAGUCAGGCAACGAGCGAGACCCGCACUUCUAAUUGCCAGCAGCAGUUUCGACUGGCUGGGUACAUUAGAAGGACUGCCGCUGCUAAAGCGGAGGAAGGAACGGGCAACGGUAGGUCAGUAUGCCCCGAAUGAGCUGGGCUACACGCGGGCUACAAUGGUCGAGACAAUGGGUUGCUAUCUCGAAAGAGAACGCUAAUCUCCUAAACUCGAUCGUAGUUCGGAUUGAGGGCUGAAACUCGCCCUCAUGAAGCUGGAUUCGGUAGUAAUCGCAUUUCAAUAGAGUGCGGUGAAUACGUCCCUGCUCCUUGCACACACCGCCCGUCAAAGCACCCGAGUGAGGUCCGGAUGAGGCCACCACACGGUGGUCGA
rnacentral:rRNA from 1 species